rnacentral:rRNA from 1 species
GACGAACGCUGGCGGCGUGCCUAACACAUGCAAGUCGAACGGGGUAUUAGCAAUAAUACCUAGUGGCGAACGGGUGAGUAACGCGUGAGCAACCUGACCUUUUGAGGGGGAUAACAACCGGAAACGGUUGCUAAUACCGCAUAAGACCACACUGUCACAUGGCAGAGGGGUCAAAGGAGAAAUCCGCAGAAGGAGGGGCUCGCGUCCCAUUAGAUAGUUGGUGAGGUAACGGCCCACCAAGUCAGCGAUGGGUAGCCGAGCUGAGAGGCUGAUCGGCCACACUGGAACUGAGACACGGUCCAGACUCCUACGGGAGGCUG